rnacentral:rRNA from 1 species
UGCUAAUACAUGCAGUCGAGCGGACAGAUGGGAGCUUGCUCCCUGAUGUUAGCGGCGGACGGGUGAGUAACACGUGGGUAACCUGCCUGUAAGACUGGGAUAACUCCGGGAAACCGGGGCUAAUACCGGAUGGUUGUCUGAACCGCAUGGUUCAGACAUAAAAGGUGGCUUCGGCUACCACUUACAGAUGGACCCGCGGCGCAUUAGCUAGUUGGUGAGGUAACGGCUCACCAAGGCGACGAUGCGUAGCCGACCUGAGAGGGUGAUCGGCCACACUGGGACUGAGACACGGCCCAGACUCCUACGGGAGGCAGCAGUAGGGAAUCUUCCGCAAUGGACGAAAGUCUGACGGAGCAACGCCGCGUGAGUGAUGAAGGUUUUCGGAUCGUAAAGCUCUGUUGUUAGGGAAGAACAAGUGCCGUUCAAAUAGGGCGGCACCUUGACGGUACCUAACCAGAAAGCCACGGCUAACUACGUGCCAGCAGCCGCGGUAAUACGUAGGUGGCAAGCGUUGUCCGGAAUUAUUGGGCGUAAAGGGCUCGCAGGCGGUUUCUUAAGUCUGAUGUGAAAGCCCCCGGCUCAACCGGGGAGGGUCAUUGGAAACUGGGGAACUUGAGUGCAGAAGAGGAGAGUGGAAUUCCACGUGUAGCGGUGAAAUGCGUAGAGAUGUGGAGGAACACCAGUGGCGAAGGCGACUCUCUGGUCUGUAACUGACGCUGAGGAGCGAAAGCGUGGGGAGCGAACAGGAUUAGAUACCCUGGUA